rnacentral:lncRNA from 10 species
CAUGAUUGUGUGUUGGCCUAUCAGUUGAUGGGCACUUAGGUUGAUUCUAUGUCUUUGCAAUUGUGAAUUGUGCUGUAAUAAACAUAUGCAUGCAAGUGUUUUUUUGAUUUAGUGACUGUUUUUGGGAGGUAGAUACCCAGUAGUGGAAUUUCUGGGUAGAAUGGUAGAUCUACUUUUAGUUCUUUGACAAAUAUCCACAUCUUUUUCCACAGAGGUUGUGCUAAUUUACAAUCCCACCAGCUGCGUAUAAGCGUUCCAUUUUCACUACAUCCACACCAACAUCUAUUGCUUUUUGACUUUUAAAAAAUAGCCGUUCUGACUAGGAUAAAGUGGUGCCUCAUUGUGGUUCUAAUUUGUAUUUCCCUGAUUAGUGAUGUUGAGCAUUUUUUCAUCUGUCUGGUGGCUUUCUGUGUGUCUUAUUUUGAGAAAUGUGUAUUCAUUCAACUCAAGGAUUUUAUCCUUGCUUUUGUUUCUUCCUGGAAUGUUCUUACUUCACUUACCUGGGUCUCUCCUCUCAUUCAGGUCUCAAUGCCAAGGUCUUCCCUGAGGACCUGAUCUAGUUUCUCUUUCCCUAUUGAGAUGGAGCAGGAGCCCCCUUUAUUAGGGGCCUGCAGACCCCAAACAUGGAAAUCAAGGAGAAUCAUGAUUGCCUUCAAGGGAAGUUCCAGGCACCUAGCUAGCUCCAGAAGUCAAUAAGUAACUUAUUAAAAAAGAAGGCAAUAGUAGCCUAAAGGACACCUGAGGAAAUUAGAGUCCUAGGGAUGUUUGUUUUUCCUAAAGAAUCCAAGGAGAACAUCUUAACCUGUACUUCUGAGUUGUCUUUCAGAAACUCAGACCCCCACUGGGGACCCACACUGAAGGGAUCAGCCAAUAUGCAGACCUCAGAUACGCUCAGCGUGUUCCAAGACGCAGGCCCCACCCCCGGAGGUGAAUGUGUGGAGAUAACCAGUUACCACGGGGCUCUCUAGAAGGGGUCCAGCACACAGGCAGUUGGCAGAACCCGGGAAGUACCAGCUAUUGAAAUGAACUCAAACUGCCUUAUCUAAAGACUGUGAAAAAAGAAAUGGUUCGGGUACAAAGCUUACUGCCAAGGAGUGCUCUGCCACCUCUGCCUGACAGGGACAGAAGGGAUCUUGUUGGCAACACAUUCCCAGGGUUGGAAGGGCCCCUGCGGAGCUUCAUGGCACAGGCAGAACAGAUGCUGAGAUCACUCAUGUGGAUGAGAGACCUGGCUGCCCACUCACACCACCUGGCGAGCUUGAGAUCAGCAUCUAAAACGCCCCAGGAGAACUGGGCACUGGUUCUGACAAGUUAAGAAGGCAAAAGUCUGCUGCUCUGGGGUGACGGGUGUAACUGGAGUGAGUGUUGUGAACAAACAGAGAUAACGAAUUUUUCAAACAUUUUUUACCAUAGUCAGAUUUAAUCUCCUAUCUCUAAGUCUAUGGUCUUUCUUCUUCCCUCUAAAAUGUGUUAUUUCAUGGGGAGUUUUCUGAGAUACAGGCCAAGGGCAAAUUCUGGUACAGCUCAUCCACUCUGCCUCUCCACUGCUCUAGGAGCAGGCAGGAUUUGGUAGAGGUUGGGGAUGAAUCCCAGAGCUCAGCCCUGAGAGUCUGCACCCUGCAGACACAUCCUGGGGAGGUCACCACCCUGACCCUCUCUCUGGGUGGAGCAAACAGGCCAAGGAGACAAUGGUUCCAAAGGCGUUAGGACACAGCAGCCACGGGGGACUAGGCCUAGGAGCUCAGCAGCAGGGGACAGGGAAGGGCCAUGAGUCUUUUGCUUUGGGAAAUAGUUAGGUCUGAGACUUUUGGUGAUGGGCACAGGCAGCCUAUGCAAUCUUGUGCUGGAAGAGGUGCUUCUAAUCACAAAAAGGGCAAUAAGAUAGUUGCUUUUUGCCUGGGGAGGACAGGUGACAAGGUGAAGGUCACAUGCAAGGUCGUGGCAUUUUCCCAUAUGUGGGGAUGCUGAAUGCCAACAUCUCUAUUUCCCACCUUUCUACAUCCAGAUAAAUAAUGAAGCAUUUUCUGUAUGGAGGGCAGAGCCUGGUCUAUGCAGCUCUUUCUAUCAGGCAUGGAGACUUGCAGGCCCCUGGCUGAUCUUCUCCACCCAGCCAGUUGUUCCUGGAUUCAGUCAGGGCAGGCCUAGACUCCCCUUUCUGCUGGGUUGUGAGAACUGCAGUCUUUAGCAUGUGAGUCUUCGCAGGAGCAAAGGCAUGGGCCAAGGGUUUAAUAUUAUCACUUAAAACCAGAGGUGAAACUGGGUUGGGGCUAAGUCAGAACGAACAAAAAAGGAGCUACUCUUAAGACUUGCAGAGAAAUAGUGACAAUGACUCAUUUUAAACUAGAACCCAAUGUGGUAAUGAGCUCACAUUUGAGCAUUCGACAGUGCCUAUACAUUCUCCAAUGCAGGUGUCAUUAAGGGAGAUGUGUCUGGCAGCAGCAAGAGUAGUUUUAAUUGAGAAGUGGUUUCACACAGAUAUAUAGGGAUGGAAAUGGAUAUAUCUACAUACAUUUAGAUAUAUAGACAUCUAUGCAUAGAUCUGGAUCUAUAUCCAUGUAUCGACAGAUUCUGUACUAUUCACUCCUUUCUUCCUUCGCUUCACAGUCAUGGUUGAGUCUAAAAGAUAUUAAGACCAUCAGUUGAAAAGUAAAGCUCAUUUUAAACUAGUUAUUCAACUUUAUGUACUCCAUGUACCUACAGUCAGAGUAUUUUUUAAUUUCUGAUUUUACUCAGCAACUCAAAGGGAGCCUCUUCUUUCCUUCUUGUUUGUCUUUCUUCACCCCUUAAGUACAGGACCUUCAUUGGUCCCACUGGAAAUGACCCUGACCCCAGCCUUGGUUUGUGACUGACUGAAAUUCCUGUGGCCUUCUCAAAGCUGAGGUCUUCCAUUUGCACUGAUUCAUGGAUACUCAUGGCAUUGUGAGUCUUUCGCGAAUCUGCCAGGAUACAUCAUGUUAUCGGGUGCAGGUGUGUGUAAAGAUCUGACCCCUGAACACAUCUUUUGUGAACUAACAGAGAAACAGAUGCUAGUGGAUGUGUGUGUGUCAUCCACACCUAGGGAGACAACAGGGCUUCCAAACCCCUAGAGCUGAUCCCUGGCAGGGCUCAAACUGCAGGGGAGAUGCUGUGGGGGUCUGUGGUUACUUUUGUGCUGAAGACCUUCUUCUUCAGUGGUGCCUCUUCAUUUGCAAUUGUAAUUAUUUCUCUGGAAACUAGGAACCUAGGUUUUUGUGAAGUGAUAAAACUAAUUAGCCACAACAAAUCCUGUCUGUGCUUAGUUUGCUCAGGACUACACAGUGUAUAUUAGUUUGCCUUUUGGUAGGAGCCUCUUUGCUGUGGCAUGACAGUGCUGCAGUCCCCUGGGGCUGCUUCAACCCCCACCAGAAAGGAAAAUGAGAGAAACAAUGCAUUCGAGGCACAAGCCUGCUACAAAUCACCCAUUAAUUACACACAGAGCUGUGCGCCAGCCAAAGGGCUUUGUCGGGCUUGCACCUUGAAGCCAAUAGCAGAAUUCUAGGUGCUGCAAUUGGGAAUAAGGAGCUGUGCUCGACAUACAUGACCAUUGGGCACAGUCUAGGGCAAGGAGGAAUAAUUCAAGGCCACGCCAAAACCCAGGAGGAAGAACAUGGCCACACAACCCAUCUGCUUUGACCAGUCUUGCCUUCACGUGAGGUCAUUGGAAAGAAACCACCUGCACAGGUGUAAACUCCUGGGUGCUUUUGCCUAAGGCAGUUUCCAGGGGCAAGAGAAAUGCAACAAGAAUAAAGGUGACUCAUAAAAUGGAUCCUGCCAUGUAAAUUCGAAGCAGAAAGUGUAUUUUAAUUAGACUUGGUUGCUGCUUUCACCCGAUUUCCAAGUAUUAAAUUUUCUCUUUCAUUUCCUGCGUGAGUAAUCCUGGCCCUGAUUAAUUGAAAACACUAGGUCCUUGCUACUCCCACACAUUCCCCAUGGAGGGGACUGCGCUUCCGUGACAAAUGGUCAUGGAAUGUGCUCCAUUAUCAUUCCUUGACAUAGCAAAUAAAGAGGGGAAAUCAUUUAUUCCCAGCAUUGGCAAGCAGCCUUCGGGGACUGCACUGGCCAGCUCUGACACCCACUGAAUGAUGGUGGCGGCACUGAUUUGCGUUACCCGCAGACAGAACCCGUGCCCUCUCACUCCAUUAGCCAAGUCAGAAACAUCAAGCUUUUACGGAAUCCAUUCCAGCUGAAACAACAGUCUCCUUUAUCAUUGUAAUAAACACACCCAGGGACAGAGGAUAGCUGCUCAGGAAUUUCUGGCACAGGAUCUGAAAUGGAAUGUCCAAAGGCCAUGUUGGAACAGCGAUGUCAGCAGCAGGAAAGAUUAAGAAUGACCUGGACCGCCAUCCCUCUGAUAAAGCACCUCCUGUGAGCCUAACCCUACAUAAUAAGGAAGAAAGAGCUUGGGGCUCUCUCAUUAGACCCUUUGAGUUGUGCAUACAUCCUGUGCCAACCACACAUCCAGUGGCAGCUCUUUGUGGACUCGCGAAAAAUUGGCUGAAAAGGAAGGACUGUGACCCAAAGAUGCCCAGCUCCCUGGAAUAGGGCACGUUACAGUGGGCUGAGGAGCUACAGUGAGCUGUGCUAAGAGUGUGCCUGGGAAGAGAAACCAAGGACGUGAGAUUCAAAAACAGGCUUUGCCUAAGACUGCAUAAAGCUGCAAGCUCUCCAGCCCUUCCCUGGCCAGUUCCCUGUGACCUCCUAGGCUGGAGAAACCAAGACCAAUGGCAGCUUCCAACCAGCUUGGCAUAAGUGGUUGGCAAGGCAGAGCACCCCCAUCUGUGCCCAGCUGCAGGUCUUGAAGUCUCUCAGUCAUCAGCUCACCCAGGACAUCCAGUUCAUCAGCCAGUCUUUUGGAGCCCCCUGGGUGAAGUUGAGGAAGGAAGACCUGCCCACAGCCCCAGUUCCCUGGAAGUCUGUGAAUAGCAAGAAAUGGGGCAGGCUGGGCUGUGCUUGCUGUCAUCUCUGGGUGGGGGGAGAUGGAGGCCUGGGCAGGAGUCCUAAGAAUGCUGGGUGUCCAUGGCUGCCUAGUCGCUGGGGUCUCUCCAGCAGAGGACGGUGUGGCUGUGCACCUUGUCCAAUGCCAGGAAGCCAGCAGCCGGGGGUGGAACUCGGUAUUCUGCAGGGAUGUUGUGACUGACACAGUAAUUAUGGGUUUUUGCAUUGUUUAUGCCUCUCUGGGAGCAGAGCCAAAUGCUAUGAGCCGGUGGCUGCAAGGCACUCAGUAGAUUUCAUGACAGAGUAUCAUUGUAUUUACUCUUUCAGGCCUCCCGGACUAUUGGCGCCUCAUGAAGCUUUAACACUAUUUGCUGUUCUCAUAAUUAAAUCACUGACUAAAUAAAAAAAAAAAACAAUAAAAGAAAUACCAAAUCAUUCUAAACAGUGAUCCAACAUGGCUUGGGUGCAUUCACAUAAAAGCAACUUUCUGUCAUUUUACAUUUUUUUCUGCUCUGAUCUGGGCUAUGUGGGUGCUUUGAUGCUGGGCUGGAAUCAGGCAGCUGUGUCCUGCCCUGUCCGCCUGGCCUGCAGCUGAGGGCUGGAGCCCCCUGCACUGCCCCUCCCCACCCCCUGCAGACCCCAGGAGGAGGGAGGGAGCAAACUUUGCCAGUACCCAGGGUGGAAAAACUCUCUCUGCUGUAAACUAAAAAUAAAAUCCUAAGCCUCAUCAACUAAACAGACAUGCCUUGUGGUGAAGGGGACCCAGAGAAGUUGAGUUCCUGCCAUGACAGGAUGGGCGGUCAGACAUGCCUCUUUAUACCCCUCUCCUUUCUGGUUCAGACACAGCAAGUGACCAGCGUUCAUGUUAAAAUAGAGAUCGUAAGACUGGCAGAAUGGACUUUUGUGGCAAUAGAUACCAAAUUGUAACCUGGACCUAAGAUCCUGCCCCACACUCCCACACUUAAAGGAGAAACUGUGCUCUGUCACAGGUGUUUCUUUUCAAAACUCCAGCAGCUGAGCAAGCACUGGCCUGGAGAUAAGCAAUGUUAAAACAGUUACAAGUUACCCAGCUCACAGACGCAGGCUAACUGACCCCUGUCCCACCAGCCAUAACUGCAGCCUGUACUAGAUAAGAGGCUGAUUUCAGUAACUUUCUCCCGAUCAGAGACUGCUGACCAUGGACUAGUUCUGGCUGGUUUUUGGAAGUUCUACAGUCAUGUGCCUUGUGUUCUGAAAAGGCCUUUGGAUGGGCUAAUACAGUUAAAUGUUGUCUCAUCCCCAAAGUGAAUAUGCAUCAUAUAUAGUCACAUGCAUAUAUCAGGACCACCUUCAUGAAUAUUCAUGGAUUCUCCUGCAAUCUGUUGAAUAUGUAUGUUUGGCCAACCUGCUCAGCAUAGAGCUCCUGUCCCAAACCCCUUCUCUUUCAGAGUGCCUGUCUCUGGUCUUGGCCAAAGGCUAUGCUUCCCAGCCUGCGGACAGCCACCUUGUAGGCUGUACCCUUUUAUAAGAAAGCCUCCUUUUCUAAUUUAUACAUCUUGUGAUUUUUAAGUUAACACUGCUCAACUCUGAGCUGUUGGGAGAAUAGGAGGUACCCUUGUCUAUUUUCAGCCCACAAACAUUUUUCCUCCUCUAGAUGCAUUUGCUCAGAACUGGAUCAAAAUUGUGUGUGUGUAUGUGUGUGUGUAUUUGUAUAUAUUUGUGUGUGGUGUGUGUGCACAUGCAUGUAGAUAUUUUCCUCUUCAAUUUCACAAAGUACACACGUAUACUGAAAUAAACUCCUUCUGGAUCUGCUGAGUGUGAAAUUGAUGAGACUCCAGCCUGUCUCACUCUCACUUUCCCCCAGGAGUGCCUGCUCUGCGGGUGCCUGGGCUGAAGCAGGAUGGGCUCUGGGUGACUCCUCUACUGGGGAGGUGGGUAGGGGAAAGCUGGCCAGGCUUGCUGCGUGCUGGGGUCCAGGCAGACAGAGCUCCCCUGGGAAGUUUUCUUCAGGCAGGAAAACUCACCCUGUGGGGCCUUCACCUCCCUUUAGCCUAAAACAUAUAGAUAUUAAAUUUUCACUUAUUUUUAUUUGUGGAGUACAUGUGUAAUUAUGUGCAUAGACUUCAUAGUGGUCAAGUCAGGGCUUUUAGGGUAUCUGUUACCUGAAUAACAUACAUUGUACCCAUUAACUGAUUUUUCAUCAUCCUUACCCCUCCCACCUGGCACCCUUCCCAGUCCCCUUCUCUCUCAUUCCAUUCUCUAUGUCCACAUGAACACAUUUAUCAUCCACUUAUGAGUGAGAACAUGCGAUAUUUGUCUUUCUGUGAAAUAAUUUUAACAUGGAAGCAAUGUCUUUUGUUUUACCGUUAAGGCUAGGACGUUAUUGCAGAUUCCCCCAGUGUCUUAAAUUUACACCACAGAGUAAAUGACCCAUUAGAACCUCUCCUGAAAAAGCCUUUGAUUGUAGUAGAAGCAAUGAUGAUGAUGAUAAUGAUGACGACGAUGAUGGCGAUGAUGAUGUUGACGAUGAUGAUGAUGAUGAUGACGAUGAUGAUGAUGAUGAUGAUGACAAUGAUGAUCGUCGCAAAUGCUUCCAUAGCUCUAGCUGUGUGCUGGGCGCUGUUCUAAGUGUGUAAAUAAAAGUGGUGUAUAUAAGAGUUAAUUCACAAAAUACACUAAUGCCUUGUGGUCAUUAAAGCCCAGAGAGGUCAGUAGCAGUACCAAGACUUGAAUUUGCAUAUGUCUUUAACCUCUAUACAAUGCAAGGCAUAAAUCCGCCUGAUAGCUAGAAUCAGGCUUGGGGUUGUCGGUGCGGGGGAGUUUCCCAACAAACUCUUCAGAUCCUCAGGUUGGUGGAAGUUGGAUUCUGUGGAAAUGGUGGCGGAAGCAGCAGGAGAUGGGGUGAUGUGGCUGCUUAUUACUGGCAAUAUUUAGGCCAGAAUUAGCAGUAAUUUUUUCUUCAAUUAGCAAAUAUUGGACACUUAGAAAACUGUCUUAGAAAAUCAUGUGUUAAAAUCAAAUAUUUUAAUCCAGCUCUUUUAACAGAUUACAUGGCAAAGAUAAUUAGGCUGCUGGGAACAGGAUAUAGUGUUUAAUUAAUGCAUUAAUUUUGAAAGCGAAAUUCGAUUGUUAAAGAAAAUACAAUAAAGGAUUGAAACAUGAAAUUAGCAUAGGAGCAUUACCCAUUUCUUCAAGCAGCUUACUGGGCAUGAUCUUUUUCCUGCUGUUUCCCGGGGGAGGUUAAGUAGGAAAGUAGGGUCAUUUGUGUCUUGCAGGAGAAUGAAACUCUGCCAUCCUGUUUGUGGGGGUGGAGGUGGAGACAUUAAAAAGACCCAGCCUUUAUACUGUGCCCCCAAAUGCAAACCCACAUGAACUAUCUGGCAGGUUCCUAGGUGCUAAGUGCACUUCCUGGUCUUUCAUGUCACUAGAAGAGACAUGGGGCUCGACUUACAGAGAUGACAACACACUUGCUUAAAGCCUGAAGGGUAUCACUGCCCCUGCCUGCAGCAAAACGUCAGCCCCGGCCCAGUUCCUCUCUCAUCACCACUCCUGCCCCUUUCUUUUUCUUUUUAAUUGACACAUAAUCAUUGUACACAAUUAUGGGGUUAAAUAUUAUGUUUCAGGGCAUACAUAUGUUGUGCAAUGAUCAAAUUUAAUGAGAUAUCUGGAGCAAUAUUACUAGAAGAAGGAUGAGGUUGUUUUAGGAUACAAAAUCAAUGUACACAAAUUCAUAUGGAACACAAAAAGAGCCCUCAUAGCCAAAGCAAGACUAAGUAAAAACAACACAUCUGGAGGCAUCACAUUACCUGAUUUCAAACUAUACUACAAGGCUAUAGUGACCAAAACAGCAUGGCAUUGGUAUAAAAACAGCCACACAGACCAAUGGAACAGAAUAGAGAACCCAGAAAUAAAGUCAAAUACUUACAGACAACUGAUCUUCCAUAAAGCAAACAAAAACAAAGUGGGGAAAAGAUGCCCUAUUCAACAAGUGGAGCUGCGAUAAUAGGUAAGCCACAUGUAGAAGAAUAAAACUGGAUCCUCAUCUCUCACCUUAUACAAAAAUCAACUCAAGAUGGAUCAAAGACUUAAACCUAAGGUGUGGAACCAUAAAAAUUCUAGAAGAUAACAUCAGAUAAUCUCUCCUAAACAUUGGCUUAUAACCAAGAACCGAAAAGCAAAGGCAACAUAAACAAAAAUAGAUAAAUGGGACCUAAUCAAACCAAAAAGCUUCUGCACAGCAAAACAAAUAAUCAGCAGAGUAAAUGGACAACCCACAGAGGGGGAGAAAAUAUUUGCAAACUAUGCUUUUGACAAAGGACUAAUAUCCAGAAUCUACAAGGUACUCAAACAGAUCAGCAAGAAAAAGACAAAUAAUCCCAUCAAAAAGUGAACAAAGGAAAUAAAUAAACCAUUCUCAAAAGAAUACAUGAAAACAGCCAACAAACAUAUAGAAAAUGCUCAACAUCACUAAUUAUCAGGGAAAUGCAAAUUAACAUCACAAUGAGAUACCCUUUACUCCAGCUACAAUGGCCAUAAUUAAAAAAUCAAAAACAAUAAAUAGUGUCAAAGAUGUGGUGAAUAGAGAAGGCUUUUACACUGCUGGUGGGAAUUUAUACUAAUACAACCACUUGUUCUAGCCCAUUACCUGUCAUCCUCCACCCUCUUCUUCCCUUCCACCCUCCAACCUUUUCUUCCCCAUUCACCCCUCACCUCCUCCAUUUUUCUAGCCUCUUCUUCCCCUCCAACCUGCUUCCCCUCCACCAUCCUUCCCUUCCACCCUCCUUCCCCUCCACCUCUUUCCCCUCCACCCUUCUUCCCCUCCACUAUCCUUCCCCUCCUUUCUCUCCACCAUCCUUCCCUUCCACCCUCCUUCCCCUCCAGCUCCUUCCCCUGCACCCUUCUUCCCCUCUACCUUUCUUUCUCCCUUCCCUCCCAUCCUCUUUCCCCUCCAUCCUUCUUCCCCUCCACCCUCCUUCUCCUUCUUCCCCUCUACCCAUCUUCCACUCCUUC